GGAGAAAAGGGCAAGGAAGAGGAGGGUGCGAAUCUUGCGAUGUAUAUAAUUAUGUUUUCCAUUCUUUUUUUUUUUUCCUUAUGUUUUGUG
rnacentral:ribozyme from 1 species